CCAAUAGCGUAUAUUAAAGUUGUUGCAGUUAAAAAGCUCGUAGUUGAAUUUCGGGGUUAGUAGGUUGGUCAUGCCUCUGGUAUGUACUGGUCUCACUGAUUCCUCCUUCCUGAUGAGCCGUAAUGCCAUUAAUUUGGUGUUGCGGGGAAUUUGGACUGUUACUUUGAAAAAAUUAGAGUGUUUAAAGCAAGCUAACGCUUGAAUACAUUAGCAUGGAAUAAUGAAAUAGGACGUUCGAUCCUAUUUUGUUGGUUUCUAGGAUUGGCGUAAUGAUUAAUAGGGAUAGUUGGGGGCAUUAGUAUUCAAUUGUCAGAGGUGAAAUUCUUGGAUUUAUUGAAGACUAACUACUGCGAAAGCAUUUGCCAAGGAUGUUUUCAUUAAUCAAGAACGAAAGUUAGGGGAUCGAAGACGAUCAGAUACCGUCGUAGUCUUAACCAUAAACUAUGCCGACUAGGGAUCGGAUGAUGUUAAUUUUUUAAUGACUCAUUCGGCGCCUUACG
rnacentral:rRNA from 1 species